AAGUCCAAAUUAUAAAAUUUAACACUUUCAGUGCUUUCAUUUGUUGGAAUUGGUUAAGAAAGUAAAUUAAGUGACCUGAAAAUCUUUUGAAGAGCGUAAAGCUCAUCAAAUUACAAUUAUCUCCAAUGUCAAUGUCCAGUUGUAUUAUUGUUUCAUUCAGUUAUUUAGCUUCAUGUAAACUGAUCCAUGAAAAUGUAUCAUUAUAUUCAACAAACCAUAACUCGCCAAGAUCACAUUUCAUUACAUUUACCAUUUUAAAAUAUUGAGAUUUUAACCAACUCGUGCAUAAUUUAAUAGCAGCAUUAGUUAACCAAUAAUGUUUACCAAGAGCUAUUUAUAAUUAAAGUGAAUUCCAAUGUUUACGUCUAACCCAAUUCAAGUAUUGAUACAACUGUUGAUCUCAAUUUGUUUCAUAUUGUGUCUACCAUCUUUACUAAAGCUUCAAUUUGACUGGUAGAAGUUCAAUCUGAGAAUUCUGACUUUCAAAUUGAGCAAAUGUAACUAAAUUUAUUAAAAUAGCUUUUAAUACCAUCAUUUGAAGAGUUAGGCCCUAAAUAUGGCGUCUCUAUGAAUAGAGCUGAAAAAGGCGCAAAAUGGAGAGUAACCGUUGAGCUUUGUUUGUUAUUAAGGUCUUAGACUAAUUAAUACUGUUUCUUGAAUUGAAAAAUGGUGAUUAUCAUUAAAAAUAUACGCUUUGUUCCAGUGAAAUGGUUAGUCUAUCAAUUGUGACAAUCUGUUUUUAGGCUGAUACUGGCUCAAGAAUCAAAGUGACCAUCGGAUACUACCGAACCAGAACCGAGAUGAGCUUGAGACCUACAGUCAGGACGCUUUAUCCUUACAGUUUCACAGUUAUAACCUUUUGAUGUCUUCGAAGGCAAACAUCGUCCAUUUUUAUACAGCUUAAUCUCAAAAUCUCAAAACCAAUCCAGUGCUACAUCAGACUAAACUGUGCUUUAAUUUCAAAUCGAUUGUUCUUUACCUAGGAAGCCACAUUUCCAAAUAACGAGUGUUGAAUAUUUUGUUGUUAAUUCAUUUUAAUUUAUCUUUGUUCAAUAGGAUUGAAGUUGACCACUUUCCACAAUGAGGAUUAAAAGAGUGUUUAUUGUUUUCACCUUUAUCGCCACCAUAAUAAUCUUAAUCUCUUCAGCUGAAGGAUACCACCGACUAUCUGGACUAUCUGGACGUGAAACUCGGAAACUUAUUAAGCUACUCUUAGGAGCCGCUUUACUUGCUCCACCAGGAUUUGGAGUUGUACCCAUUCCUAUCCCAGUGCCUGUGCCAUUUGCAGUUGAAUCGGUUAAACCACCAAUCAUUCAUCCUUUUCCUAUUGGUCAUGGAGGAGGAUUCGGUGGAGGAAUUGGCGGAGGGAUUGGCGGAGGGAUUGGUGGAGGGUUUGGUGGAGGAUUCCAUGGUUAACAGAUGUUUUAUUACCACUAUUAUGCUUGUUGUUUUGUUUCACCAUUAACGAUUUCAAGUCCAUCGUCAUUCCAAUCAUUCACUUUUUUAUUGUUUACACGUUUUUUGUGGUGUUUACUACUUCUUGAUUUUUAUGGUCAAUUUAAUUGUAAUCUUUCAAUUGAUUUCUAACAUUGACUGAGAGAUUCCUUUCUCAACUACAAAUUGUAAUUUAUAAUAUUAUGUAUUUUUAUAUUUUAUAUGCGUUUCACGAAAACAAUAAUACACAUAUUUAAAAAUUUACUAUCACCAAUUUAUUUUUAGAGAUUCCAUUAUUACCAUGGCUUGCUAUUAGGUUAAUUUUAACUUAAUGAAUUGUAAUUGCGAUCUUUUAGAAUAUCAAGAUUUCGCUUUCUAAUUUCAUCAAGAAUCUGAUUUGGC